UACGAAGGGGGCUAGCGUUGCUCGGAUUGACUGGGCGUAAAGGGCGCGUAGGCGGUUCGUACAGUCAGACGUGAAAUUCCUGGGCUCAACCUGGGGGCUGCGGUUGAUACGUGCGGACUUGAGUGCGGAAGAGGGUCGUGGAAUUCCCAGUGUAGAGGUGAAAUUCGUAGAUAUUGGGAAGAACACCGGUGGCGAAGGCGGCGACCUGGUCCGAUACUGACGCUGAGGCGCGAAAGCGUGGGGAGCAAACAGG
rnacentral:rRNA from 1 species